CUGCAGGGAUGAUCCUUCCAACCUUUGAACUCUCUCUUGCUGAUGGGCUAGUGGAGAAACUCUUUAAAAGUUCUGAGUAGC